GGCCCGGUGGUGUAAUGGUUACACACCCUCUUCUCUUAACAAUUGCUUGGUAAAGUUAUGAGGGCGUUCCUUGUUCGAAUCAAGGUCGGGCCG